GGAUUAGAUACCCUGGUAGUCCACGCCGUAAACGAUGUCGACCAGCCGUUGGGUGCCUAGAGCACUUUGUGGCGAAGUUAACGCGAUAAGUCGACCGCCUGGGGAGUACGGCCGCAAGGUUAAAACUCAAAUGAAUUGACGGGGGCCCGCACAAGCGGUGGAGCAUGUGGUUUAAUUCGAUGCAACGCGAAGAACCUUACCUACCCUUGACAUCUACAGAAGCCGGAAGAGAUUCUGGUGUGCCUUCGGGAACUGUAAGACAGGUGCUGCAUGGCUGUCGUCAGCUCGUGCCG
rnacentral:rRNA from 1 species